UACGUAGGGUGCGAGCGUUGUCCGAUUUAUUGGGCGUAAAGGGCUCGUAGCGGCGUGUCGCGUCGGAGUGAAAGACCGGGGCUAACCCCGGUUCUGCUUCCGGUACGGGCAUGCUGGAUGUGGCAGGGGAGACUGGAAUUCCUGGUGUAGCGGUGGAAUGCGCAGAUAUCAGGAGGAACACCGGUGGCGAAGGCGGGUCUCUGGGCCAUUACUGACGCUGAGGAGCGAAAGCGUGGGGAGCGAACAGG
rnacentral:rRNA from 1 species